UCCCUGAUAGCUCAGACUGUAAAGAAUCCACCUGCAAAGUGGGAGACCUGGGUUCAAUUCCUGGGCUGGGAA
rnacentral:tRNA from 1 species